GAUGAACGCUGGCGGCGUGCCUAGUACAUGCAAGUCGAGCGAACAGACGAGGAGCUUGCUCCUUCGACGUUAGCGGCGGACGGGUGAUUAACACGUAGGUAACCUACCUAUAAGACUUGGAUAACUUCGGGAAACCGGAGCUAAUACCGGAUCAUAUUUCGAACCGCAUGGUUCGAUAGUGAAAGAUGGCUUUGCUAUCACUUAUAGAUGGACCUGCGCCGUAUUAGCUAGUUGGUAAGGUAACGGCUUACCAAGGCAACGAUACGUAGCCGACCUGAGAGGGUGAUCGGCCACACUGGAACUGAGACACGGUCCAGACUCCUACGGGAGGCAGCAGUAGGGAAUCUUCCGCAAUGGGCGAAAGCCUGACGGAGCAACGCCGCGUGAGUGAUGAAGGUCUUCGGAUCGUAAAACUCUGUUAUUAGGGAAGAACAAACGUGUAAGUAACUGUGCACGUCUUGACGGUACCUAAUCAGAAAGCCACGGCUAACUACGUG
rnacentral:rRNA from 1 species